rnacentral:rRNA from 1 species
GAAACGACUGCUAAUACCGCAUAAGCCCACGGUGCUGCAUGGCACUGCGGGAAAAGGAUUUAUUCGCUCUAGGAUGGACUCGCGUCCAAUUAGCUAGUUGGUGAGGUAACGGCCCACCAAGGCGACGAUUGGUAGCCGGACUGAGAGGUUGAACGGCCACAUUGGGACUGAGACACGGCCCAGACUCCUACGGGAGGCAGCAGUGGGGGAUAUUGCACAAUGGGGGAAACCCUGAUGCAGCGACGCCGCGUGGAGGAAGAAGGUUUUCGGAUUGUAAACUCCUGUCGUUAGGGACGAUAAUGACGGUACCUAACAAGAAAGCACCGGCUAACUACGUGCCAGCAGCCGCGGUAAAACGUAGGGUGCAAGCGUUGUCCGGAAUUACUGGGUGUAAAGGGAGCGCAGGCGGACCGGCAAGUUGGAAGUGAAAUCCAUGGGCUCAACCCGUGAAUUGCUUUCAAAACUGCUGGCCUUGAGUAGUGCAGAGGUAGGUGGAAUUCCCGGUGUAGCGGUGGAAUGCGUAGAUAUCGGGAGGAACACCAGUGGCGAAGGCGACCUACUGGGCACCAACUGACGCUGAGGCUCGAAAGCAUGGGUAGCAAACAGGAUUAGAUACCCUGGUAGUCCAUGCCGUAAACGAUGAUUGCUAGGUGUUGGAGGAUUGACCCCUUCAGUGCC